rnacentral:rRNA from 1 species
UGGGUGAUCUGCCCUGCACUUUGGGAUAAGCCUGGGAAACUGGGUCUAAUACCGAAUACACCUCAUGGACUACAUGGUUUGUGGGGAAAGCUUUUGCGGUGUGGGAUGGGCCCGCGGCCUACCAGCUUGUUGGUGGGUGAUGGCCUACCAAGGCGACGACGGGUAGCCGGCCUGAGAGGGUGUCCGGCCACACUGGGACUGAGACACGGCCCAGACUCCUACGGGAGCA